GCGCGCUAGAUGCAAGAAAGAAUUUCCCUGAGCCUGGGUUGUCAACACUGUUCGGUAAAAUCAUCAGAAGGCCUUUCCUCUUGGAAGGUGGUGAACCAGGAGACCCCCGUCUUGAUGGGCCAGGAUCAGUCUGUCUGCAACACCAUCUCUCUGGCUGGGUACCAGGCUGGAGGAAAAGACCUUGUCUGUUGGAACAUCCUCUCUGGCCAGAUGGGGACCUCAGGUCGGCUCUCCGCCCCCACCUCCUCCCAUUCACGGCUCUCGGAAGAACAGAACCCACCCUGUGAUCACCGCCCUCCGCCAGCCACCCCUGGGUGCCAGCCUAACACUCAAGGCCCACAGGCAGUCCUCCCGGCAGAACCCCAGUCCAUGCUGCCACCGCCCGGCCGCCGCCGAGCACGCGAGAGGGAGGUGGGUGUCCGCACGCUGCCCAUCACGCCUUCUUUCAGCAGCAGUAAAACCCACCUCUUAACACCUCCGCUUGGGUCCCUAAUAUUUGCCUGGCUAUAUAUCUCCGGUGAUAUAUGGGCAGAAAUUGCUCGUAAACGGCUAUAA
rnacentral:lncRNA from 1 species